AUUGCUGUAGCUAUGGUAAAUCGAGUUUUCUGCCUGUGCUGAAUGCAUUAGUCUAAUGAGAUGUUUGCAGCCGGGGAGCAGGGCUGCUGGAGACUAACUGUGAGCUACUAACACACGGGUGGAAGAUUAGCUUUUGCAGUACUCGGUGUGCAGGUACCGAAAGUCUUCUGUCUUCUGAGUCAACAUUCCCCGCCUGGGAAAGAACCUGAUCAGGGCUCUGGUGAACAAGCCGUAGACGAUUUGUCACUUCCUUCUGUAAGACUGGCACCAGCAGAAAUGCAGUCUCAGAGGAUCCCUGGGAGAAAGCGAGGCCGACCCCCACUUCACUCAACACCUGUGAAGAUGGCAGUUCAUAACCUUUAUUCUGCUUCAGCUGGUUCUUUACCAGCGGUGAAGAUCCCAAAGAAAAGAGGGCGGAAACCCGGGUACAAGCUCAAGUCUCGGGUACUGAUGACCCCUUUGGCCCUCUCACCUCCUCGGAGUACGCCGGAGCCCGACCUCAGCUCCAUCCCUCAGGACGCAGCCACCAUCCCCAGCCUGGCAGUCCCACAGGCUCUCACAGUCUGCCUCUACAUCAACAAGCAAGCCAACGCAGGGCCCUACUUGGAAAGGAGGAAGGUGCAGCAGCUGCCCGAGCACUUCGGGCCCGAGCGGCCGUCAGCGGUCCUGCAGCAGGCGGUGCAGGCGUGCAUCGACUGUGCCCACCAGCAGAAGCUGGUCUUCUCCCUGGUCAAGCAGGGCUACGGUGGCGAGAUGGUCUCUGUGUCAGCAUCCUUUGACGGGAGACAGCACCUGCGGAGUCUGCCAGUGGUGAACAGCAUCGGGUACGUCCUCCGCUUCCUUGCCAAGCUGUGCCGAAGCCUCCUGUGUGAUGACCUCUUCAGCCACCAGCCCUUCCCCAGGGGCUCCAGUGUUUCGGAGGAAGCCCAGGAGAACCAGGAAGGCAGGAUGGAGUCAGCAAAAACAGUCACCACUGAAGAGUGCCUGGUGAAAACAGCAGGCAUGAACCGCUACAGCGUGGACCCCUCUGCCUCCGCCUCCGCCUUUAGCCACAGGGGCUCCUUGCCCACCUCCUCCUCGCUAUACUUCAAGAGGCAGAGUUCCGGAGAUAGCCAUCUUGUGGGAGGCCCAGCCACCACCACUGGUGGUCCUCGCACCAGCCCCAUGUCCUCUGGAGGCCCCUCGACACCUGGGCUGAGACCCCCAGGCUCCAGCCCCAAGAGAAAUGGGACCUCUCUGGAAGGAAACAGAUGUGCCUCAAGCCCUUCUCCAGACGGGCAGGACGCCAGGCGGCCACGGAGCAGGAACCCGUCCACCUGGACCGUGGAGGAUGUGGUCUGGUUUGUGAAAGACGCUGACCCGCAGGCCCUGGGGCCUCACGUGGAGCUCUUCAGAAAGCACGAGAUUGAUGGCAAUGCCCUCUUGCUGCUGAAGAGUGACAUGGUUAUGAAAUACUUGGGCCUGAAGCUGGGACCCGCGCUGAAGCUCUGCUACCACAUCGACAGACUGAAGCAGGCCAAGUUCUGAAGGGUUUUAAAAGACGGAAGCCAAAUCCAGACAGCGCAUCUCAAGAUCAUCUUCUGCCUUACCAACAUCUGGCCUCCAUCACAAAAUUGAUUCUCUUCUUAAAGACAACAGCCCCAGAGAUGUAGUCUUUUUACAAAACUUGUGCAUCUCCGCCUUUUCAAAUAUUCAGCCUGGUCCUUUUGAAAGGCUCCUUGGUGUUAAUGAUUUGCCAAAAAAUGACAAAAAUGCCUAUUAUUUGUAACAUUCCUGAUAGGUUGGUUGCCGUUAGAGUGGGUCCUGUUUUUACAAAGGAAGAUGGGGAACCGAAUGCUCCACCCAAGGAGAAGAACCCUGGUGGGUUCCACGGAUGAUAGCAGAACCCGUGUCUCUGCAGGCCUCGUGGCAACGCCCACCACAGCGCCCCCUGUCUUUGACUCGGACCCGCAGACCUCUCAUUGUGAUCCUUGCCUGAUUCAGCUCUUAAAGCUGUCUUCUAAGGAUAAAUGCCUCACCUUGCACUAUCUGGAAAACUUGAAUUCUUUUGCUCUCUGAAAGAGAAGGGAAAAAAAAAAUCUUUUCUAUUCCUGGUUAUCUGAAAUACUGUGUUAUCCCACUAGAGGGCAGACUGCUAAUGAAAUUCCAGGACUCUCACUGCUGUAGCCUGAGGAUUCCGGACUCAAUAGAUGGGUUAGGGUUUCCGUGAAUAAGAUCUAGCCCACACACACGUAGGGAAUUUAUUUCAAGGUCAGCACCACAGAUUGUAACUGGGGAAGACCCAAUUACCUCCCAAAGGUAAUUGGAAAGAAAUUGUCUCCUAGAAGGUUCUAGUUCAUAUCCAAUCAUUACUACUGACUGAGAUGUACAAGCAGCAAAGGCAAGAAUUUGGAAGUACAUUCUCCCCAGAUGGGGCUUUGGAGUUUCUUCCUUUCCAGAAUCCUCACUGAGGUGUCAGUGUGUUGGCACACGGAAGAGUCUUAGUGACAUUUAGCCAUGGGUGUUUCUUUAAAAAAGAAGAAAAAUGUCUCAACUAAGCUUUGAAAUGGGAAAGUGUUGGUUUCUAGUUACCUUGCUGGAUUAUGUAGUUGAGAAUUUGGUCAUAUCUCUGAAGACAAUUGGAAAUGCCCAGAGGUGGCUAUGGACUUGAAUGUAGGCAUUACCAGAAGGUCUUGAGCAAUGAAACUAUCAUGCUUUCCUUCUGAAGAACACAGCCAGGCCUUCCUGUGUGGGGGCUGAAGAUGGGCUCUGAGGGCACUUUUCCGACUCUUCUGCAAUGGCAUUAGACGAGGAGGAGAUUUGACUCUUUUUUUUAAAAUCUCAGAUAACAAGGCAUGGGAUUGUGCAGGAGUAGAACAUUUUUUAAAACUGCAACAUUUUGUUAAGGAGAAGGAUGAAAAGCUGCCCCUGGGCUUUAUUUUUUGUCAUAAACACACUGCAAGACCUGAGUGGGGUUGCCCUGACGUGUGCGUGUUCCCUGCGGCAGGAGGAGACCGUGCUGAGAGGCCUGGAGGUGAAUCCAGCAGGUGGUCAGACAGGUAGAGGCAGUGAUAUCAGUCCGGCAGCAACACCCUGCUACUGCACUCAACACCUGGCACCUGAGCUCCCAGCCUGACCUCUGGCUGUGCCACCAGCCAGAGCACUGGGACCUCAGCCUCCAGGAUGUCCUCCCCGCCUAAUCAAAGAUGAUUCCUUCACGGGCGAUUGGAAGCUGGACAUUUGGAAACAUAGCAUUUAUUUGAAAGAGAAUCGCCCUUAUUUAUCACCACCAGUUAAAUAUGACGGAAACAUGUCUGCUAACAAUUUACUUUGUGUAAUUUGUUCUAAUGCUAAUAGGCAACAGCUGGGACACUUCCUGUGGUAAAUUCCUGUGUGGUUACAGUGGUAUGAUCACACAUGGACUUCACCAAAACGCUGUACUUGAGAAGAAAGCUCACGCAGGCUCUCCCAGGCUUCAGGACAAGAGUCGCAAAGGCACGUUUUUGCAGGAGGAUUUGCUUUUCUUCACUCUGCUUUCCCAAGCAAGACCCCAGACCUUGAAGUCCUACAGAAAGAGCCUGGGGGUUCUCCUCACACUUAGCAUAGAGUUUGAUUUCCCUACAGAGGAAAAGGCAGCACACAGAGCUUCAGAAAGACACCUCCCUCCAGGUCAGUGCGCCGUACCAAUGUGGAUAUUGAGAGGAUGGGGCACGAGAUGAGCGGAGACACGGAACUGGCUUGGCAGCUGCUUAUAUAAUGAUGUCAGACUGCAUGGGGACAAAGCAUCUUUCUGCCCACAGGGUCUAAAUAUACACUUCGACUUGCUCUGCGCUGCCAGCCCACCAUGCUCUGCUCUGUAGCUUGAGCACAUGACCUGAGCCUUAGAGGUGGUCCCAUGCCCUAGAGGCUCACUGCAAGGACCAACACAAUCUUACAUUGGAGCCCACUCUGAAACACAGCCAAAGCCUUGCUUCUCCAAACCUCUCACUAUGAAAUCGCAGACCCUUCCUGGGUGUUGGUUCACAGCAAGUGUGUGUGUGACCAGAGGCUACCUCCAUCAUCCUCGUAGCACCCUCCCAUCUCCGGAAGGCUCUGCCUCCCCAUCAAGGUGCUGGAAUGCCUUCCCCACAGCCCUGAGAAGUGGCUCAGCCUGACCACUUCCCAUCAGGGGGAGUUCACUCCCAGAGGAAGUGGUUUAUUUCUUUGUUGGACAGCUCUGGUUGUGAAAAAGUUUUUUCUCAGGGAGACACAGAUGUCUGUGAAUCAGACACAGACAUUUGAGAUGAAGCCAACUCUGCAAUCUUUCUCUUUUUAACAGAGCUUGUCCGGGCAGCAACCACACCUAUAAUACAAACCGACAUUGGCAAGUAGAUCCCAGCUCUGCUGCGUUAGGAUGGAGGAGCAGACACUCGAUACAAAUGUGGCCACGAGCAAAAUUUCUGUGGCCUUGUACACACACAAAAAGGGUGGCCUGGAGAAUUUUCAGUGCAGUUGUAAAUCUGGCUGUGUUCACAUAAGCGUGUGAUAAAGUUACAUCAGUGUACAUGAGUGAAUCUCUAAGGCCAUGCGCCUUCCAGUGGUUAAACUGUGAAAAAGGUGCUGUGACCCGCUGAAGCCCUGCCUCCUAAUUGUACUCAUUGGCGAUGUAAUGAUGGAAGGAGGCUCUAGUGUAGACAAAAGCAGGUUAUGAUUGAUGCUGGGCGAGUAAACAUGGUCUUUCAUGAAUUUAUGAAAGUUACACAGUUGAUGACCCCCCCGGCCCAAGUCAGAUGCUGUGCUUGUGUGUGCGUGUGCGACUGAGCUCAAACUGGAGUGAACACAGCAAGGAGUGGGAACUGGGGAAGGUUC